GUCGUGAAGGAAUUGUUGAUUGUUUUAGAUUUCUAAGUGUUCUUAGGGUUUCAUCGUUUGGCGUCGUGGUACUUAGAAAGGUGAUUACUCCAGUUCUCUUGUAAGUUAUGAUCGUGCAGUCCAGAGGAGCCGCCGAAGGCUGUGCGACCACACACGCACAAGGGCUCCAGCCCAAUGCUAAAGUCUCGGUGCCGAGUUUGUAAGUUAGAGGCUGAGAUCCAGAGCCAAUCUGCGUGAAGCAAAGACAACAAAGUACUGGGCAACCGAUGUAUUCCGCAAGCAUUUGAUAACUUUUCCUGUUUUCAGCAGGAGUGGGAGUUGAAUGUUGUGAUUCUACGCGUGGGAGGCUUGAAGGAUGAUAUUUUUGCCCUAUUCUUUUCACUCCUGACAUUUAUUCACAGAUAGUCGAAUUAAUGUCUCGUUAUUGAAGACUUGAAAAGUUUUACCGGGCGCCGUGAGUAUAGGACACGCAGAGACCGCUAGAGUUGGACAACAGAUUGUCUUUAGGACCACAAUGUAAGGAAUUUUUUGUUAAAAAUCUCACGGGCUGAGAUCUCACUGCAUUUCUACUUAUCUAUUUCUUUCAAAUUCUUUCAGGCGCGAAGCUAGGCUUUGCUAAGAGAUAGGUGCGCAGGGUUAUACUUUAUAUAAAAAAAGUGAAGUAUUAGUUGUUCUUCAAUAGGAAAAUACCGCUUUUUGGUGGUAAGCGUUUCCUUACUGUUGCAGUACGCGCGCACCAGUCAAUGGAAUCAUAAAGCAACAUGCUGAAUUAAGGAAAAUUCUACAACACAGAGUCUAUAUUUUGUAUCCACUUCCUCAAAGACGCAGUUUGUCACUAACGAUAAUAAUGGUAAAACAAUUUUUUUGUUGUUGAUGAGAAAAAUUAAAAAAACUUUAAUAGUUGUGCUCUUUAAUAAAUUCUGCAUGCCUAGGGAUUUUUUCAAAAAAUAGCUUGGAUUAUCAUUCUUGGCUUAAAACACCCCCUUCAAUCCUUAGUGAGAGAUUUCGUGCGUCCUUUCCUAUAAAGAGUUUAAAAUAUGUCCUGGUAGGGCCUUCUUUUCUUAAAAAGAAAAAGUCUGAUAUAGAUGAAUGGUUCCGUUAACCGACCAAGUAAUAUGGAGAAAAAUUCUCUUUCCGUAGUUCCGCAAUAUAUGAGCCUUUUUAGUGUUUUACGUGCGACGUGUUUUGUACCAGAUACAGCAAUUUGCGCUAAUUGAAAAGCAUCAUAGGAAAAACACCACAGGCGGCACAUGGCGGGCUCUUUGAACCUGUUUCUAGCAUUGAAGGGGUAUUUCUAGAACUUGUUGAUAAGCCUACACAGUAUUUGCCCCGAGGAACAUAUAAGGGCAUCCAGAUAUGACGUCACGUUUGUAGAAAGGAUGCCCAACCAGAAUGCAAGCCUAAUAUUUGUCAUCGUACUAAAAUUUUGUACUAAUGUUUGAUUAUAAGAAAACUACUCGCUAAUCCGUUUGACCCGCUACUUCCCCGUCAGAUAUGAAAUGCGCGGUCACUUACGAGUCUUAAUAGAGAGCUCGGUCGCGUCUGGGGGAAGCAAGAACGAAGAUGAAUGCGAUUAUCAGGCGGCAGUUCGCAGCAUCUUAAACAUACUUAUAUAUUUUUUAACAUAAAUAGCCAGGCGUAAUCUUUAUAGAACAUCCAUAGAAAAGGAAAAUCUUUUGAAAUUUUGUCCUUUGUUCUCAGGAUUCAAGCGAGUGAAAAACUUGGCGUAAUCAAUUUAACAAAUCCCAACAAAAUGCUAAUCGAACACAAUCGAACUUUAACCGAUUAGUUCGCGAUUAUUGUUAGUUUAAUUUCCGAAUUCAAUCGAAUUCAAAAUUAAUAAUACUUAAUAAUACUCGAACAGUUAUAUGAUAAUGAUGACAAAAACAACUCAUGCAGAAUAGUCCGAGAAAGGCGUCCGAGAAAGGCCUGGAUAAACCAAACUGGUAGUCUACAUAUAGCAUGUAUCUGGCUUCCGUGCUGAAUGCGCGCGCAUCGCUUGUCAACUUGGAUUGACGAUAUCAAUCAAACCGAGGUCGAAACUUCCGAUUGAUUUUAUUCGGUCGAAGAAAAGGUCGAUUUCCGAACGCCCGAUUAUGUUCGAUAGAAAAAAAAAAUCGAGAGUUCCGUUUUGUUUGAUUACCGAACGUUCGAUUGAUUACGUCGGGACUUUUUGACCUAAAAAAUCCCGCACUUCCUCGAUACUUCUAUUCCCCAUUAUCGUUUCCCGACUGUGCGUGUACGAAUUCCGGUAAGUUGCCACCUCUAAUGAAAAUGCAAAAUUUAAAUUCGCUUCUAUGUGAGACCUGUUUUUUUCCUCUAAGUCACUUUCUAAUUUUGUUUUUUUACCACCAAAGAAUUUGUAUUUUCUGAAUAUUAAAGUUUUGUUUUACUUUUGAACAAAAGUAUCACACACGAUUCGUUAUUUUGGUGAGUCAGGAGUCCCCGCGCAUGCUCACGGGAAGAUGCGACUCCCGCAGGCACAGCAUCAGAGAUGACGUCCAAGGGUCCCACGUGACUUAAAGAAACCCAGACAAAAGGAUUCUAUAGGAACUGAGAUUAACUAUAGAUAUUAGCAACGUACUAGAAGAAGUUUCACAGUUGGUGGGAGUAAACAAAAAUGUCCACGCCGUGUUUUUCAAUAGAAAUGUUAAUCGUCCGAAUAUUUCGAAAUCUCUCGAGAAAGGGAAGGACUCAGGCGUAAGUUCAGCAGCAAUCCGAAAACAGUAUGAGCUUAUACCGUAACAGUUUUUGAAAGACAAAGGAAUAUUGGAAUAUCUAUAAAAUUAUAUUGGCAUUAUAUCA